rnacentral:rRNA from 1 species
CCUACGGGCGGCAGCAGUGAGGAAUAUUGGUCAAUGGACGAGAGUCUGAACCAGCCAAGUAGCGUGAAGGAUGACUGCCCUAUGGGUUGUAAACUUCUUUUGUAAAGGAAUAAAACGAGGCACGUGUGCCUUUUUGCAUGUACUUUAUGAAUAAGGAUCGGCUAACUCCGUGCCAGCAGCCGCGGUAAUACGGAGGAUCCGAGCGUUAUCCGGAUUUAUUGGGUUUAAAGGGAGCGUAGAUGGGUUGUUAAGUCAGUUGUGAAAGUUUGCGGCUCAACCGUAAAAUUGCAAUUGAUACUGGCAGUCUUGAGUACAGUUGAGGUAGGCGGAAUGCGUGGUGUAGCGGUGAAAUGCUUAGAUAUCACGAAGAACUCCGAUUGCGAAGGCAGCUUACCAAACUGUGACUGACAUUGAUGCUCGAAAGUGUGGGUAUCAAACAGGAUUAGAUACCCCAGUAGUC